GAUGAAGAACGCAGUGAAAUGCGAUAAGUAGUGUGAAUUGCAGAAUUCAGUGAAUCAUCGAAUCUUUGAACGCACAUUGCGCCCUUUGGUAUUCCUUAGGGCAUGCCUGUUCGAGCGUCAUUUAAACCUUCAAGCUAAGCUUGGUGUUGGGUGACUGUCCGCCUCACGGCGGACUCGCCUCAAAAUUAUUGGCGGCCGGUACAUUGGCUUCGAGCGCAGCAGAAACGCGAACUCGGGCCCGUCGUAUUGGCUCCCAGAAGCUAUCUUCACAAUUUUGACCUCGGAUCAGGUAGGGAUACCCGCUGAACUUAAGCAUAUCAAUAAGCGGAGGA
rnacentral:misc_RNA from 1 species